AAUAAGUUUAUUUUUUCAGAUUUUAGGUAUAAUGUUUAACUCUCCGUCUUAUUUGAUUUUUUUAAUUAAUAUUAUUAUUAGAUGAUAAAACAUAAUAGUACUUUACACAUGACUAUAUUUCUGAGCUUUUUUUAAAAAAAUUAAGUAAGACAAAUAGUCAAACAUUAGACACGGAAACC
rnacentral:pre_miRNA from 1 species